AAAGUCGUAACAAGGUUUCCGUAGGUGAACCUGCGGAAGGAUCAUUAACACGUAUCCAACGUUAAACAACCCCGUGAACCUUCAGCCUGCUCUCGUAGCCCACGCGGCAACAGCAAUCCCGGUAAAUCAUUGACGACCAGUUUUGAUUCGGGACCUCUGUUACGAUGUGAGAAGUUACAGUUACGAUCGAGCGGUAGAGUCAGUGGCAUGGCGUCCCCAAGCAGAAUCCAGAGAAUGAAAGGAUCACUGGCUGCGCAAGGAUAACGCCUCACGGUUGCUAGAGGUCGAUCACCGACCGGCAGACAUGUCACAGGGUCCCCAUGCCCCUUACCUCACCCCACUACCAAUGACUAGCUUAGCGGUAACGCGCUGAGUAAAAAAAAAACCGAACAACUGUUAACAAUGGAUAUCUUGGUUCUC
rnacentral:misc_RNA from 1 species